rnacentral:rRNA from 1 species
GACGGGGGGGGCAAGUGUUCUUCGGAAUGACUGGGCGUAAAGGGCACGUAGGCGGGGAAUCGGGGUGAAGGUGAAAGUCGCCAAAAACUGGCGGAAUGCUCUCGAAACCAAUUCACUUGAGUGAGACAGAGGAGAGUGGAAUUUCGUGUGUAGGGGUGAAAUCCGGAGAUCUACGAAGGAACGCCAAAAGCGAAGGCAGCUCUCUGGGUCCCUACCGACGCUGGGGUGCGAAAGCAUGGGGAGCGAACAGG